GAACGAGAAAGUGGAGCAAUACAUGAGUAAAGUGGCGACCGGGUGAGUAACACGUGACUAACCUACCUCCGAGUGGGGAAUAACUCCGGGAAACCGGGGCUAAUACCGCAUAACAUCGCAAGAUCAAAGCAGCAAUGCGCUUGGAGAGGGGGUCGCGGCUGAUUAGCUGGUUGGCGGGGUAACGGCCCACCAAGGCGAAGAUCGGUAUCCGGCCUGAGAGGGCGCACGGACACACUGGAACUGAAACACGGUCCAUACUCCUACGGGAGGCAGCAGUGGGGAAUUUUGCGCAAUGGGGGAAACCCUGACGCAGCAACGCCGCGUGGAGGAUGAAGCCCUUUGGGGCGUAAACUCCUUUCGACUCGGACGAUAAUGACGGUACGAGUGGAAGAAGCACCGGCUAACUCUGUGCCAGCAGCCGCGGUAAU
rnacentral:rRNA from 1 species